rnacentral:tRNA from 1 species
CCUUCGAUAGCUCAAUUGGUAGAGCGGGGGACUGUAGAUUUAUAAUUGUGAUCCCUAGGUCGCUGGUUCGAAUCCGGCUCGAUGUA